rnacentral:rRNA from 1 species
CACGUAGGGGGCAAGCGUUGUCCGGAUUUAUUGGGCGUAAAGAGCUCGUAGGCGGUUCGGUAAGUCGGGUGUGAAACCUCCAGGCUCAACCUGGAGACGCCACCCGAUACUGCUGUGACUAGAGUCCGGUAGGGGAGCGUGGAAUUCCUGGUGUAGCGGUGAAAUGCGUAGAGAUCAGGAAGAACAUCGGUGGCGAAGGCGCUCUGCUGGACCAUAACUGACACUCAGGGACGAAAGCUAGGGGAGCGAAUGGG